rnacentral:lncRNA from 1 species
AAUUGAUGACCUCAACGCAAAAUAUUCUUAGGUGUUUUUCUAUAAAUAGUUGUUUCACUCUUUCCAGUGUGUCAAUCAAAAUUUGAUCAAAAUAUGAGCUCUAAAUAUUCAUUAGUAUUACUUUUACUUGGAAUGAUAAUGCUCACCACUGUGAUUGGUGAAAGGAAUGAUAAUAAAUUUGAAUAUGAUCCUAUGUUAGAUCCAGAAGAUGAUUGGCCAGAGAUUUUUAAUGAACCGCUACCAUCCUACUAUAAAAUACCUAAAGAGGAGUCACCUGAUUAUGAGACAAACUUGUCAAAUGAAGCCAUCAACCACACCGUUUGAGCCAGUCCACAUUGCAAAAAUUCCUUACCAUUACAAGUGAUCGAAGUGGCAAAAGUGGGUCUAGUAAAAUAAUAAGAAAAAUUGUUUGUCAUAUGAAGUUUUCUUUUCUUUAUUUUUUUUUCUUCCUAUUUACCUCAAAAAUUCUAUUUUUCAAGUAGUGAAGUACAAUUUGCCCCUUUAUUUGAUUAAAGGCUCAAUAAACAUGUAUAUGUAUAAUAAUUACCUCUCAUUUUAGCAUAAAUAAUGUCAACUACUAAAAGUAUUAUCUAUGAUUACCACAAUAAUGCCAAUUUGGCUUGAUAUAUACUCCAUCUAUUUUUCCUCAGAAAAUAUACUCAAUCUAUUUCCAAUUUUAUUGUCAUUUUUAUAAUUUUUCUUUGUCUCAAUAUUUUUUUUAGAUUUUUCUUAAAAUAAUUGUCACUUUAUAAUAUCUAUGUCAUUUCCGGUUUUCGCCCCUAUAAAAUUUUCGGUUUGAUUUGCACUUUUGUAAAUUUUUUAUUUUCCGGAAAACACCCUUAAUAGGCCAUUCAAAAAUCAAAAUUUUUUGCAAAAAAAAUUCUGAAAAUGGCAUAUUAGGGUGUUUUCUGGAAAAUAAAAUUUUUACGAGGGUGCAAAUCAAACCGAAAAUUUUAUAGAGGUGAAAACCAAAAAUGACAUAUAUUACAGGGGUGAAAAACACUAUUAACCCUUAUUUUUUUCAUUGAUAAAUCUUUAUUUUUUGAAUUUCACCAAACUUAACUACUACAAUUAUUAAAAGUGUUUUGAUAUAUGAUACUACUUUUAUCAUUGAGAGCAAUGAGACAACCUAAAAACAACAAUUAAAAUGAGACAAAUGAUAAAAAUUAAAAUUUAUUGAUUAAACUUAUCCGACAUUCUGACUUUAAAAUUUAUUGAACCAUCACGAGUUUACAUAAGGUUGGAUCAACUCAAUGACCUGAACUUGAUCUGUUCGGUGAGAACGGUUGAGUCGCAACGGUUGUGAAGAAUGGUCCCAUGAUCGGUAACGACUUCCAGUGCGGUGGCGUAGCAUCUUAUGUGAUGGAACGAAAGGUGCCUGCAGACACGUUUGAAUUCCGACAAUCAAGUCAGUAAUGGAACUGAGAGAAAAGUUUUAGAAGUGUAGUGAAAAGUGUUGUGUACCUUGAGGGUAAAGCAAGUACACCCUUAUAUAGGCCCGCUCUUGGCAUGACCGUCUCCGGGUUAUGCGGCAUAUGAUUAAGAGCGGGAGUGGACAUGUGUAGCGUGAUCCCGACAGGGAAGCAUGGUCCAAUGUGGCAUGCCGCAGGCGAAUUGGCGUGCUCCUUUGAGUGCGAAGCCUUGAGACUGCGUAAUAUUGCACAUUUGUUGCCGUGUGAGUGGUCUAGAACUGAGCUAUUUUAUUUUUAAAUUCAUCUUUUUUUCAUGAUAGAGGGCUAAGUGAUUUGGUGUAGUUUCGGAGAAGAUCAUAUCUAUACUAUAUAUAAAGAAAACUACCUCUUUCAGCUCUUUUGGGUUGGAUUUUCUUUCCAAAAAUUCCCUCAAUUUUCAAUACAAAUAACACAUGUAACAAAUAGAUCAAAAUAAAUUUAAAUAUUAAAAUAAAAGUGUAACAAACAUAAAUGUUCAAUUUUUUACUUUAUCAUUUAAAAAGUGUAACAAACUAGAUGAGUGUAUCCAUACUUAUUUUUUCAUUAUCCCAAUUACAUUCCCUUAAACAACAACUUUUUCUAUUCUCUAAAAAAACAACUUUUUCUAUAAUAAAGAUUGUUGUUGGUUUCAUUAAAUAAAUACUCCAUCCGUUCCUUUUUAAGUGUCACUUUUGCAGAAAUUUUUUGUUCCUAUUUAACUGGCACUUUCAAAGUUCAAUGCAACAUUAAAUGUUGUUUUACCAAUAUUAUCCUUAGUUAUUUAUUGCGGAGAGAGAAAUAUAUGAAAUGAGAUAUUAAAUGAAUAAGAUCAUUAUAGUAAAAGUAUAGCUUAUUGCAUUAAAAGGAAUAUCAAUUGUUGAUUGUCUUGAUUUCGUAACUCGCGAAGCGUAUUACGAAAUGUGCAUCACAGGAUCCUGAGGAAUUGACCUAUGUUCAGUCUCGUAUUAACCCCCGUCACGCACUAUGAUAUCAUCCUUUAACGAUAUCAUCAACAUAUAUAUUAUAUCAUCAACAUAUAUAUGAACAAUUAAAAUUUCAUCCUUUAAUAAUUUUCAAAAGAGUGUGAUGUCAACUUGAUCUUGUGAAAACCGUUUUCUAAAAUAAUGUUACUAGGGUCUUUCAUACCAAGCUAUGGCAGCUUGUUCCAGAUUAUACAAUGAAAUCUUCAAACUCAGGAAGUUGUUUCAUACACUUCUUCAGAAAUGAUACCUAUAAAAUACGAACUUAUAAAAUCCACUUGAUAUAGAAUGAUAUCAUUAUUUACAACACAUGAUAAUAAUAGACUAAUUGCUUAUAAUUUUGCUACAUGUGCAAAUGUUUCAGCGAAAUCUAUCUCUUCUUGCUGACUAUUUCCUUGUACUACUAGUCUAGCUUUAAUUUUUACUAUAUCAUUUUGUUUAUUGAGCUUGUUUCUGAAAACCCACUUUAUGACAAUGACAUUAUUACCUUUUGAUCUUGGAACUAUUUCUCAAACAUCAUUUCACUUUGAUAAUUGUGCCCUACAAAAUUCCACUAGUCUUUUUAUGACUUCCGAUCAUAACAAGUAGUAUUUACUAUUUUUACAGAGGCUUUUGUGUCAGUUAUUUAGUUUGCUUGAUGCUUGUUUAAGAGUUAUUUUGAAUAAAUGGUUCUUAUGUUACAUAAGGUUUUUAAAAUUUUAUCUUCUUAAUUAACCUUAUAUUUUACCGUAUCCUCAUUGUGUUUAUUAGGUUUAGAGCUAAAAUAAUUUUUGUUUAAAAAAUAACAUGAACUCUAUGUGAUAUUUUAUUUUUUAAUGAUAUCUUGAGCUGUAGGUAACCAAAUGGAGUCAAACUAUUUCCGAAUGAAAUCUAACAUUAAUUGAUACAAGUUUUCAUAAAUAUACUAAAGUCGAAUUCGGCUUGUAAAAUGGUAAAAAAUGUAAAGGAUCUGAAUACAAAAAAGGAAACAAAGAAGAAGUGGAGAUUCAAUCCCCUCAUGUGUAAUUUUAUAUUUUCCUUUCUAAGUCUGAGUAGCUAACUUUUCUUCAGAUUGAAACUCUUGAUUAGUGAUGUCAAUUUUCUAGCAAGGGUUAGUUCGUUGGCAAGUAGUCAAAUAUAUAAAUUUCUUAACCUAAAGGUUUGCAAUACUUCAACUUGACUGCUACGAUUAUGAUUAAGAUAUGUAAGAGAUAUUAUGAUUAAGAUAUGUAGUUUGGGGGGGGGGGAUUAAAAGGCGACGAGGUCAUAUCAUAUUCCCUUGAUUGAUUGCUCAAUUUUAAGACAUCUGAUCGAAUUAGUCAGGCCAGUGUCUUGGUAACUAACACUCUUCAAUAGUUAUGACUCCCUAAUGUCUUAGGUUAGUCUAUAACCAUUGAAGGAUUAGUAAUGCCAAAUUAAGUACAUAAAUCAUUAUUAGAAAAUUUCUAAAGCUAAUAACAACUGAAUGAUUAAAUUAGGUCAAGCCAUUAACGUUAGGGUUAGUAACCACCAAGACCUAAAUCAAUUUAUAAACAUUUAUAAAUGCAUAAAAAAACAUUAAGGAUAAACUCAACCAAUAAAAUAACAAAGUAGACAACUGAAGUCAUAUGAUAAUGUAAAGUUACAAAAUCAAACGAUUACAGAGAAGUUCCUCUUUUAUGACCUAACCCCGAUAGAAUUAGUUACUCGUUAUUUCUAAACAUAAACUACUGCAUAUGAAUAAGAAAACAUGAGAAAAGGAUCACCAGUUGAUGAAUCCAUGGCUCUCAAAUGGAUCUGAUCGCUCCGAUAAUAUGCUAAAAUCGUGUUUCUGCCUUCAUAUUCUCAUCAAAAAGUGUUUUUUCACUGACCAAGGUGUUUGCCUUAUAUAGGUGCGUAUUUUCCUUAAAAUUAGUGAAAGUUGGCCCGCGAUGUUAGCAUAUAAAUUGCGAUGUUAGUUAAACAUAGAGUGAACACCUUGCAUGUCAUUCAUAUCUCACGAUGUGGAGGUUAUAGCCUGCAAUACGAGAUAGAUAGUGGCUGAAUCUUACAAAUUCCAUUUUGAUUCUACAAAUGACUUAAAACUUCUAUAUAAUUUCAUAUCAUCAAUGAUCCUCUUAGAAUCUAAUUGAGUUAUUUUAUUUAUGAGUUCUAGUUUAUGCAAUUGAUACCCAUGUACAUUCAAUAAUUCUUGUUAUUUAAUUGUGAUCUUACCAAUAUUGAAUUGAACCUAAGGUAUUUAAUUAUGGAUAAUUGGUUGUUUUGGUUGUUUGUAUGACUCUAUGUUUGUAAAGUAGUUCUUUUGGCACACCUUAUGCUAGAGGAGUUGCUUUUGGUGGUUAAUAUAUAUUCCAUUUUUGAUUGUUAAAAAAAAGUUAUUGUUCGCUAAGUAAUUGUCUUAGAGAUAUCAUAUCAUUUAGCUGUGACAAAAUUUAGUUGCCGAUCAUGCUUUUGAUGUUAGAUACGCGAGACCUGGCUUGAGUAAAAAAAAUUGGUUUUGCUAUAUUUUGCUAAAUUGUCGGAAACAUAAUCAAUUGUUACGGCUAGUACCACUAUUACCAAAUAGUAACAAAGAGGGGUUAUUGCCAUCAGUUGUUUCAUUUAAUUUACCUAAUUAAGUGGAACAUAAUUGCCAUGGUUUAGAACUGGGGUUAUUGCUUUAGGUUUUUCAAACGGUUUUUAAAGUCUCCUUAUUGGAGAUGCUUUCUCUAAGGUACAUUAGUUCGGCAUAAAACAUGAUGAAAUUCAUAAAACAUUAACGGAUAAGAUUAGUGUUGUGUAAUCAUUGAGACGAUCCAGAUUUUAAAACCUUACCUUUUAAUCCAAAAUUAGAUUUUAGAUAUGGAUCGUCCGAAACCGAGAUGUUAUAAUUGCGUGCAAUCAUAAGAUCAUGACAACACCUAACCCUAAUCUAAUAAACACCAAGAAUGAUAUAUAUAUAUAUAUAUAUAUAUAUAUAUAUAUAUAUAUAAUACCGUUUUUGCUUAUAAAUAGGAACCAAGGGAUAAGAUAUGGAUUUUUUUUUUUUUUGAGGGAGGAUAAGAUAUAGAGUUAAACAUGUAUAAAAUGGUAGAAAUGUGCACAAAAAUAAUCGCAACAAAUGCACACUACCCUUUUGUGACCUCAUUUGGACCAUUUUUAUUACUAAAGUAUAAAAUAUGAUAAAUAAUUUAAGUUGACGUGCUCAACAUUAAAUAUUCUCAAGGGUUUUCUUAUAAAUAGUUGUCUCACCCUUUCCAUUUGUGUGAAUUAAAAUCUAUAAAAACAUGGCCUCUAAAUACUCACAAGUAUUAUUACUUCUACUUGGAAUGAUGGUUCUUACUACUGUAGUGAGUUAUGGGCAUAAUAAAUUUGGGUAUGCGCCAAUGUUAGAUCUAGAGGAGGAUUGGCCAGACCAAUUCUUUCCACCACUUACCAUAAUUGAGGGUCGAAAGUCGCAUAGUUUUGGAUAUCCACCUAUAUUAGAUCCAGAAGAAGAUUGACCUAAUAACUAAUGAGAAAUCAUUUGUUUAUAAGCCAGUCCACAUUUCAAAGCUGUUGUAAGUACAAUUCUUUAUCAAAUGAGUGUUUUUUUCUUCCCACUUUUGUAUAAAACUCUAAUUUUUAAGAAGUGAUGUACUAUUUGAAUAAAGGCUCUAUAAAUAUUUCUAUGUAUAUUAUAUCUCAUUUCAGCAACAAUAAUGCCUAUUACUAGUGGUUUUACCUAUGAUUAAUAUUUUGUUAUUGUCUACAAUUUAAUUAUUCAUUAUGUGAUAACUAAUCAAUAAUAUUUUUUUUGUCAAAAAAUAAUCAAUAAUAUUUGAACAUUCAUCAUUUCAAUACACUCAUUCAACAAAAUAUUUUCUUUUUGUCUAUAUUUUACAAUCACAUCAUCGAUAUAUCACCAAAAUAUUAUAUUUAACUUAUCACAAUAUUUUUUUUUUCAAGAUAUCCUAGUAAGAACGGAUAUAUCCAAAAACAUUUUUUAUAUUAAAAACCCAAAGAAAAAGAUCAAUUAGAUAACAGCUGUACGUCACAUGUUCUAGAACUAUAAACAUAAAAAUAUUCAAAUUAGUUAUGUGUAUCUAGAACAAAAGAUCCAUCUCCUUUUCUUAGACCAUCGAUAAGAUAAUCCUACCGUGGAGUAGAAAAUUUGAGAUUAAAUUGUAACAUCCUGAUUUUUAAUAUUAACCUGUUAAUAUAAUUAUUGGAUAAUAUUAGUAUUAUUGUCAUUAUUAGUAUUGAUUGCUCGAUAUUAUGAAAUUAAAUUAUUCGUGAUUAUAGGUGAUGUUAUGAAUAAUGAGGAAGUAGAGGAGUUAACUAGUUGGUUAAAGAAUGAGAGAAAAUAAUUUUUUUGGAAGAAAAUAGUGUUUUUGGUAAGAAUAAGGAAGUAGAAUGCAAACAGAGAUGCAUUAGUAAAAUUGGAUAGAAAAGAGGUGGAAGUAGCAAAGUGAUGGACAAAAUUGGCAAGUACACCAAAUUAUAACAAGUAGUAAGUUGUAUCGUUCUUCACAAAGAUUGUCGUUCAACUCAAUAUAUAAUUUGCAAAACUUAUUUUAACACGGAAAAUAGUAAUGAUGGUUAGAAUUGCAGGGUUUAAUUGCCCGACCCAAUGCAAGAUUAGGUUUGUGUGAUUCAGAUGUGUAAUAGUGAUUAGGGAAUCCGUGAAUCCCAUCUUCCUUCUUUGUUGGAUCAAUUCAAAGUCCUUAUUAAUUAAGACCUAAAAACUACAUAAACAAAGAACAAUAAUGAACAAAGUACUCCCAUGAACAAUUAUGAAUAAAUAAGAAAUAAGUACUCCCAUGAACGAAUAAUUUCAGGUUGUCAAUCAUACUAAUCUUCUAUGAAUCAAUUUUUAGGAUUACCUAUACAUAUUUUCAAUUGAAAAAUAAUUACGAACAGACUAGUACAAAUUAAAUCGGACACCAGAAUAUAACUGAAUGAAAACUUUAUUAGUUGAAUCUAACAAAUAAGAAGGGGUUCAUAGUUGAACCCUAAUCAAGAGGUUUAUUUGCUCAUGGAAACAUACAUCAUAACAAAACAAAAUAAAAACAUACCCUAGGAAGAGUACAAGGAGGAGAAAUUCCUCCUUGAAUCUAUGAUGCUUGACCCUUGCUCUAAACCGUCAAUGUUUCUGAAUGAAUAAAAUAGUGUGCAAGGAUCUCUAUUUAUAACGUAAGGUUGCUUAGGAUUUAAUUCGAGAAAACUAGGAUUUUCUACCGAUCCAUGUAUGCCUGGGUCUUCUGGGUUUAUUUCUGAAGGAAUUUCCCUUCUUUAGUCCCAUGCACUUUGGGUUUUGUUGCUCAGAUUUGUUCAAGACCUUUGGAUUGGAGGAUAAUCUUGAAUACUCUUUGAACUAAAAUUUGAGUCCCGGCUGGCCAUGAAUCUGAAAGUCCUUUGUUUUGACUUAGUCAACACCUUGGAUCUUGACUCUCUUGUCUCUGAUGGGUUUCGAUUCUCUGCUUUUUCAGCAUUUGGAUUUGAGUAAAAGAGCAGACCCUUUUGAGUGCAAACAGAACAUGAUAAUUGUUUUGUCUUGACAAGAGUAUGUGUAUCCCUAACAGACGCACUUGUGAAGUCAAUUUCUCUCCCUUUUUUCUUACUAAUAUUGUGAGGGGUUAAUAGAUCUUUACCCCCCUGUAAUAUAUGUCAUUUCCGGGUUUCCCCCCUGUAAAAUUAUUUUUUUGAUUUACCCCCUUGUAAUUUUUUUUUGUUUUGAUUUACCCCCCUAAUAGGCCAAACAAAAACGAAAAUUUCUUGAAAAAAAAUAAAAUUAGUUUUUGUUUGGCCUAUUAGGGGGGUAAAACAAAACAAAAAAAAAAUUGCAGGGGGGUAAAUCAAAAAAAUAAUUUUACAGGGUGGAAAACCGGAAAUGACCUAUAUUACAGGGGGGUAAAAACCUAUUAACCCUAUUGUGAGAUAUGGAAGCUAAUCUACUUCUGUCAAAAUCAUAAUCACUAGAUUCUUCAGAUGAACUAUUGAAUUUAGUUGAAAGUAUGUCGAUUUCAUCUGGGGUUAAAAGUUGCCUUAGCAUGAGAUUUUGUCUUGAUAGAUAGUGAUUUUGGCGUCUCAAAGGUUUUAACUCUUCUGAUAAAAAAUUAAAUUGUUUUUGCAAGUCCUUUAAGGAUCUUGAUUUGUUCAGAUAGAGUCUUAGAAGCCUUCUGACAUAAGGAAUAUACCCAUUACAGAUUUGUUCAAAGAUUACCUCAUCAUCCUUAUCUGAAUAUGAGCUUGGUUCUUCACCAGAAGAUGUUUUAACUACUAAACCCAUAUUAGCUUCCUCUUUGUUGUCCUCAGAGUCUGUAUCUUCAUCAAGCAUCUUCCAGGUUUCCAUGAAGAUUUCCUUGAGCUUUCACUUGUAGGUUUCCCUAUGCUGAUUUUCCCUAAUGCGCCUCAGGGAAAUCAGCUAUGAAGUGACCAUUCUUUCCACAGUUGAAGCAUCCUUUUUUAUUAUCUCUUUUGUCUGUGAAGUGGGAUGUCUUUAAGUCACUGCUUCUGCUAAAUGCUAUCUAAGGACACCCUUUGAUAGCUAUUUUUAACAAAAAGUGCUAUAUAAACCCUGCUUUAGACAACAGUUUAUAAAGAAAACAAGCACUAUAUUACAUUUACCAGCGUCAUUUACCAUAGCGCUUUUAAAGUGCUAUAAAUGGUCCGAAAAAUCACUAUCUAUGACCAUUUUUUGCAUAAUGUCUCCUCUCAUAUUAAUCCUCAUAUUACAUCAUUACUUAUCAUAACUCUAUUUCUUUUAAAAUAAUAUAAUAUUAAAUAAAAGUGCAUCAUCAUAAUCCUAAAUAAGACUCAACCUAUUUUAAUAUUAUUAAAUUAAUUGAUUAAAAAUUUGGGGUUUGUACAUGUUCAUCUAGGGAGUCUUCUACAGUGCCUACCAAAUCCAUGUUUCUCUAAUCCGUCGGGUGAAUGGACCAUACGACGCACGAUCGUCAUCAAAAUAUGACAAAGACAAUUAGCGUCUUAUAUGCCUUGGGGAGUGGGGUUACCUUCUACUCGGAGAACUCCUAGGAGAUCUUAUUUUUGGAGAAUGUCUAGGAGAUCUUAUGUUCAGAGAAUGUCUAGGGGACCUGGAUCUUGAUGGAAGGGUAUUCCUUCCCAUGCUGCUAUGAUGUGGGGAAGGAGGUCGAAUAAUUGAACGAGGAUAUGGUGAUCUCCUCAGUAAUCCUUGGAGUGGGGAUCCUUCAUUUCUUUGAUUUGUCGGUUCUGAUCCUUAAUCAUAUAAUUUUUGCGGUGUAGGGUUUGAAGGAUGUUGUUGAACAUGACAUCUACGGGAGAUGUGUUGCUUGCUUCCUUGUUUGGCCGCGAGGGGACAAUUAGUGGAGCCUCUCGAAGGGAACUCGCCAUUGAUGGGACACGAUGGUGCACUCGUCAGUUGGUGAGGGAGUUAAUGUUUGACCGUCACGUUGUGGACGGUGGAUCUCACUCUUGGGAUGCUGCACCGUUGGCCAUCGUAAGAGUAGGUUCCUUUUAGGAAAUUUAUGAAGAUUUGGUCUUUUAAGUAGGAAAAUACGAUACCACUAAUUGUACCUUAUAAGAUGAUGACGUAUGAUGCAGUAGUCUUUGGCUGUUUGUGAGAUUUAAAACGACCAGGGGGGUGUACAUGCAAACACUCUUACGCUCAAGUAAGUUUAAGAUGGUUAGAGAUAGAAAUGGUAUCAUACCUUUGGGGAUUGUGUAAAGUCCUCUUAUAUAAAGGUGACGGGCAUGAGUCGUUGUAAGGCACAAUGAGGCAUCUGACGGUUACAAAUUUCCAGGAAUCGUUAUCGUCGAGCGAGAAUCGUGGGCAUGUUCUACAUUCAGUUUGAAUGUGUCUUACACCCUCCUCGCAGAGAGAGGGUGUGUGUCGGAAGUAAUCGACCCAAAUGCAAGAUUGGGCCUGUUUUGGUUCGGGCAUGUACAAAUAAGCAUUACACAACUGCUCAGUCCGGAACAUAUUUAAUAUAAAAAGAUCAAUAAAAAAUGAGGCAUGCUCUAAGGAAUCAAUUCUAAAUGACGUGAAAUCUUAGCAAUGUACAUUUAGUUGAACCUAAAUACAUGAAAACUAUCAUGCAAAUUCAAGCUUCGAACUUGAAGAAAUCCAUAAAAGAAUAAUGUAUUGUGAUUAGCAAAGCACAAUCACAUACAUCUCGAUUGUUCGAUCAAGGAUGAUCCAGUUCUUAAAAAAAAUUACUAUUUAAUAUAAAACUAGAGUUCGUAAAGUAGACUGCCCAAAACCAAGAUGUAGUGAUUGUGUGCAAUCAUAUAAUCGUGACUACACCUAAUCUUGAUGUAACAAUCAUAGCUUAUUACCCCAUCCCGUCCUUAAUAUAAGAAGAAAACCCAAAAAAUUUUAAAACUAAGACAAUCAUUAAUUGUUGUAACUUUUUAAAUAUUUUUACAAAUAUACAAUCAUAAUCUUUUACGUAAUAAAUACACCAUAAAAGUUAUGACUUUUUUUAUAAAUAGAAUCAAUUUUUUUUUGAAAAAUUUCAUACUGGAGGGAGAAAUUUUGUUUAACAAUAAAGGUUAGUUGUUACUCAAAUGUGCACAAGUUGAUCCGAUAAUAACGUGAAAACAACAUACAAGACAUGAAGUUAAAUAUGUAUUUAAAAAGAUAAAAAUAUAAUUAAUGUGUGCACAAAAAUAAUCCCGACGAAUGCCUUUUACCCUUUUGUGACUUCAGUUGGACAUUUUUAUUACUAAAGUAUAAUAGAUAAUUUUUUUGACAAAAGCAUAAUAAUAUAAAUUGAUGACCCUGUUCAAAAAAAAUAUAAAUUGAUGACCUCAACACAAAAUAUUCUUAGGUGUUUUCCUAUAAAUAGUUGUUUCACUCUUUCCAGUGUGUCAAUCAAAAUUCGAUCAAAAUAUGAGCUCUAAAUAUUCAUUAGUAUUACUUUUACUUGGAAUGAUAAUGCUUACCACUGUGAUUGGUGAAAGGAAUAAUAAUAAAUUUGAAUAUGAUCCUAUGUUAGAUCCAGAAGAUUAUUGGCCAGAGAUUUUUCAUGAACCACUACCAUCCCACUAUAAAAUACCUAAAGAGGAGUUACCUGAUUAUGAGACAAACUAGUCAAAUGAAGCCAUCAACCACACCGUUUGAGCCAGUCCACAUUGCAAAAAUUUCUUAUCAUUACAAGUGAUCGAAGUGGCAAAAGUGGGUCUAGUAAAAUAAUAAGAAUAAUUGUUUGUUAUAUGAAGUUUUCUUUUCUUUAUUUUUUUCUUCCUAUUUACCUUUAAAAUUCUAUUUUUUUAAGUAAUGAAGUACAAUUUGCCCCUUUAUUUGAUUAAAGGCUCAAUAAACAUGUAUAUGUAUAAUAAUUACCUCUUAUUUCAGCAUAAAUAAUGUCAACUACUAAAAAUUUUAUCUAUGAUUACAACAAUAAUGCCAAUUUGGUUUGAUAUAUACUCCAUCUAUUUUUCCUCAAAAAAUAUACUCAAUCUAUUUCCAAUUUAAUUGUCAUUUUUAUAAUUUUUCUUUGUCUCAAUAUGACUAAGAGCGGGAGUGGACAUGUGUAGCGUGAUCCCGACAGGGAGGCAUGCUCCAAUGUGGAACGACGCAGGCGAAUUGGCGUGCUCCUUUGAGUGCGAAGCCUUGAGGCUGCGUAAUAUUGCACAUUUGUAGCCGUGUGAGUGGUCUAGAACUGAGCUAUUUUAUUUUUAAAUUCAUCUUCUUUUUCAUGAUAGAGGGCUAAGUGAUUUGGUGUAGUUUCGGAGAAUAUCAUAUCUAUACUAUAUGUAAAGAAAACUACCCCUUUCAGCUCUUUUGGGUUGGAUUUUUCUUUGCGGAAAUGCUCUCAAUUUUCAAUACAAAUAACACAUGUAACAAAUAGAUAAGAAUAGAUUUAAAUAUUUAUACUAUAUAUAAAGAAAACUACCCCUUUUAGCUCUUUUGGGUUGAAUUUUUCUUUCCAAAAAUUCCCUCAAUUUUCAAUACAAAUAACACAUGUAACAAAUAUAUAAAAAUAAAUUUAAAUAUUAAAAUAAAAGUGUAACAAACAUAAAUGUUCAAUUUUUUACUUUAUCAUUUAAAAAGUGUAACAAACUAGAUGAGUGUAUCCAUACUUAUUUUUUCAUUAUCCCAAUUACAUGCCCU